GAUGAACGCUGGCGGCGUGCCUAAUACAUGCGAGUCGAGCGAACAGAUGAGGAGCUUGCUCCUCUGACGUUAGCGGCGGACGGGUGAGUAACACGUGGAUAACCUACCUAUAAGACUGGGAUAACUUCGGGAAACCGGAGCUAAUACCGGAUAAUAUAUUGAACCGCAUGGUUCAAUAGUGAAAGACGGUUUUGCUGUCACUUAUAGAUGGAUCCGCGCCGCAUUAGCUAGUUGGUAAGGUAACGGCUUACCAAGGCAACGAUGCGUAGCCGACCUGAGAGGGUGAUCGGCCACACUGGAACUGAGACACGGUCCAGACUCCUACGGGAGGCAGCAGUAGGGAAUCUUCCGCAAUGGGCGAAAGCCUGACGGAGCAACGCCGCGUGAGCGAUGAAGGUCUUCGGAUCGUAAAACUCUGUUAUUAGGGAAGAACAAAUGUGUAAGUAACUAUGCACGUCUUGACGGUACCUAAUCAGAAAGCCACGGCUAACUACGUG
rnacentral:rRNA from 1 species